rnacentral:misc_RNA from 1 species
AUCUUGUUGAAUCGUAGACUAGGACGUGCGAACAUGCGGCUGGUCAUCACAUUUUCUGUGUUUCUUGGAGUUUUAUUUCACAGCUGCAAAGCUGAAGUAGAAUUAUUGAAAAAUGCAGAUUUUGAAAGUUCCUCAUUUAGCGGCAACUGGCAUUGCAGCGACUGUAGAAUGACAGUGCAUACCGAGAAUAAAUAUCACGGGAGUCAGUGUGUGAUGAUUUCCAACAGACACCAUGAUUGGUCAGGAGUUAGACAGAGCGUUGUUCUGGAGGGUGGACAAUGGUACGCUGCUAAGGCCUACAUCCGGUUACUAAACAUGCCGCCAGGGGUCUCAUACAUUACUGUGGAAUUGAUGGCUCAUCUUACUGUUAAUGGUCACCCGAAAUUUGCAACAGUCGGUCAAAUACAUAUGCAACAGGAAAAGUUUGGUUGGACUGAGGUCGGGGGAGAUUUUCUUACACCUGAUGGUACGACCAGUGCAUACUUAUACGUCCAGGUCCACAACGCAACAGUCAAUUAUCUUCAAGAUUUUUCUAGUGUGCAAAAAAUAUCGACCAAUAGCAACUGGAAAUCGGAGGCUCAUGCACGGAUAAACUCUUUAAGGAAAGCGCCCAUUACAGUCAGACUGGCAAACGGAGCUUCCGCUACCGGAAUAAGUAUAGAGUUGAAGCAACAAAAACACAGCUUUGGGUUUGGCGCAGGAGUUGUAGCUUCAAUGAUGACAGACACACACCAGGUGGCUUAUCAAGACUUCGUUUACAAACACUUUGAGUGGGCUGUCAUUGUCAACGCCCUAAAAUGGCGGCUCAUGGAGUGGACAAAGGGUCAUAUCAACUUUGACAGACCUGUCAAUGCUAUUAAAGUUCUUCAGGCUCAUGGAAUCAAAAUUCGGGGACACAACAUGUUCUGGGGGGUAGAUGGACAUUCUCCAGCAUGGCUUCAGGGGAUGACUCCAGCCGAAUACAUCACAGAAAUGAAACUUCAUGUUCAGCAAGUCAUCAGCCAUACCAGAGGAACACUGGAGCAUUGGGAUGUGAAUAAUGAAAACCAACAUGGCGACUAUUUUGAGAGGCACACAGGUGACCCCGACAUAACCGCCAAAAUGUUCCAGUGGAUUCAUAGUCAAGAACCUGGAGUUAAACUCUUCAUUAAUGAAUACAACGUCAUUACCAACUCGCAGUGUACAACGCAACUCGAAACCAAGCCUUACAACUACUCAAUAUGAGUAUUCCGGUCUCUUUUGUUGGAAUUCAAGGUCAUUUUCAUAGCAGCGAUAUAAACAUCGAUGUAGUUAAGUACAGGCUAGACAAGGUGGCUGAGGCCGGACUCAAGAUUUGGAUAACGGAGCUGACUGUGUCGGAAAAUGAUGCCAACAAAAAAGCUGUCGCUCUAGAAAAUCUAAUGACUCUUUUCUUCAGUCAUCCGGCAGUAGAGGGCAUCAUGCUCUGGGGUUUCUGGGAUGGCGCAAUUCAUAAUGCACCAGCCAAGCUAUUUGAAGGACCAAAUCUAACGCCCAAUGCAGCAGGACAGGUUUACCUUGAUCUUGUUGAAAAGUCGUGGAAAACGGAUUAUUCCCAAACAAUCAGUCCGCAUACACACCUGAGCACCACUGGUUUCCUUGGUGACUACGUACUCAAUGUUAAACGAGAUGGCCAUGUUAUCCACCAGGAACCGUUCUCAGUGGACCAAUCAGGAAAACAUGUAACGGUUCAUCUGACAGGUGAUCAUGACGUUUCCCAUGUUGCUUUUGGUUGAGACUAGUUAUACAAACGCAAACCAUUGUACCUAGUGCAGUAGGUAACGGCAAUAUAGAAACGGAAGGGAUUAUUUGUACUUUUCAAUUAUACAUUAAAGGCUUUUAUACCG